GUUCAGGGAGGAGCUGAGAUGUUACUGAACUCUAGAAGAGACUCAAACUUCCUCAUUCAACACAGUUCAACACAUAAACAUCAACUCUGCUCAACAUGGACUAUUAUGGACUUUCUCUGCUCAUCGCCUCACUUCUAACAGGUGUCAGCUGUGAUCAACUUACUCCUCAAGAAAAGGAAAUGUUCAGUUCAGAAGGCAGCUUUGUUAGUCUGAGCUACACUUUUUCAAGAAGAGCAAUGAAUGAUUAUUUCUUCUGGUACCGUCAAUAUCCUGGAAAACCUCCGGAGUUCCUGAUCUCUCACACUGAAACAGGAACCAAACUCCAGGAUCCGGUUCCUGGUUUUUCCUGUAAAGUGACAGAUGAUAAAACCCAGAUGGACCUGCAGAUCAUCUCUGCUGCAGUGACAGAUUCUGCUGUGUACUACUGUGCUGUGAGGCCCACAGUGACAGGAAACACCAGAACUCUGUACAAAAACCUGCAGUACUCCACAUCAUCCACUAGAGGAACUUCAUAGAAAAGUUACAGAUGGAUUCUUGUGAAUCUCUGAGCGAAGAAGCAUCUGGAUCCAGGAUUGUUCUUUUCUAUGGCUUCAGUGACCUUACGUUGUGUGACGGAGAAAUGCAGUCUUUGGUUGUCUGUUGUAAAUUUUCAAAUAACCUACUCAGUUUCACAUUUCAUUAAUCUGAGUGCCAUUUUAAUAACUGUCCAUGAUUUGUUCUUUUAUGCUCUGCUCUUACUUUUUAAUUUUUAUAUUUGGUACCUCUUUCAGUGUCUGGUUGCUUCCAUUUGUCUUUCACUUUGCUGUUGACACACCUGAAUUUUCCCACUGCAGGACAAUAAUGGGUUUUUAUAUUCUGUUUCUAUUCUAAAAUGUCUUCAGGUUUGGUUUUGGUUUAAGUGUAUUAAAAUAAAAAAUAUUUAAAAAUCAUAAAAGA